rnacentral:rRNA from 1 species
GAUGAACGCUAGCGGCAGGCCUAAUACAUGCAAGUCGAACGGUGUCUUCGGACAUAGUGGCGCACGGGCGCGUAACACGUAUGCAACCUACCUUACAUUGGGGGAUAGCCUUUCGAAAGGGAGAUUAAUACCGCAUAAGACAGUAGCUGGGCAUCCAGCAGCUGUUAAAGAUUUAUCGAUGUAAGCUGGGCAUGCGUCCAAUUAGCUAGUUGGUGAGGUAACGGCUCACCAAGGCAAUGAUUGGUAGGGGAACUGAGAGGUCAAUCCCCCACACUGGCACUGAGAUACGGGCCAGACUCCUACGGGAGGCAGCAGUAGGGAAUAUUGGGCAAUGGACGCAAGUCUGACCCAGCCAUACCGCGUGCAGGAUGAAGGCGUUAUGCGUUGUAAACUGCUUUUAUACAGGAAGAAACGACUCUUGCGAGAGGCAUUGACGGUACUGUAUGAAUAAGCACCGGCUAACUCCGUGCCAGCCGCCGCGGUAACAC